AGUGGCAGACGGGUGAGUAAUGUAUAGGAAUCUACCUAGUAGUACGGAAUAAUUGUUGGAAACGGCAACUAAUACCGUAUACGCCCUACGGGGGAAAAAUUUAUUGCUAUUAGAUGAGCCUAUAUUAGAUUAGUUAGUUGGUGAGGUAAAGGCUUACCAAGACAAUGAUCUAUAGCUGAUCUGAGAGGAUGAUCAGCCACACUGGAACUGAGAUACGGUCCAGACUCCUACGGGAGGCAGCAGUGGGGAAUAUUGGACAAUGGGCGAAAGCCUGAUCCAGCCAUGCCGCAUGAGUGAAGAAGGCCUUCGGGUUGUAAAGCUCUUUUAGUGAGGAAGAUAAUGACGGUACUCACAGAAGAAGUCCUGGCUAACUCCGUGCCAGCAGCCGCGGUAAUACGGAGAGGGCUAGCGUUAUUCGGAAUCAUUGGGCGUAAAGGGCGCGUAGGCGGGUUAGUAAGUUAAAAGUGAAAUCCCAAGGCUCAACCUUGGAACUGCUUUUAAAACUGCUAGUCUAGAGAUUGAAAGAGGAUAGAGGAAUUCCUAGUGUAGAGAUGAAAUUCGUAAAUAUUAGGAGGAAUACCAGUGGCGAAGGCGUCUAUCUGGUUCAAAUCUGACGCUGAGGCGCGAAGGCGUGGGGAGCAAACAGGAUUAGAUACCCUGGUAGUCCACGCUGUAAACGAUGAAUGUUAAAUAUGGGAAGUUUACUUUCUGUAUUAUAGCUAACGCGUUAAACAUUCCGCCUGGGGACUACNGUCGCAAGAUUAAAACUCAAAGGAAUUGACNGGGANCCGCACAAGCGGUGGAGCAUGUGGUUUAAUUCGAUGCAACGCGAAAAAC
rnacentral:rRNA from 1 species